ACUAAAGAAGUUUAGCAAAACAUCAGCCUGUGGCACUGAAGACGCCAGUUAAAGUCUGGCCUUAAGUC
rnacentral:tRNA from 1 species